GUUUACGUAGCUUAACACACCCAAAGCAAGACACUGAAAAUGCCUAGACGGGUCUACAGACCCCGUAAACA
rnacentral:tRNA from 1 species